GAUGAACGCUGGCGGCGUGCCUAAUACAUGCAAGUCGAGCGAACAGACGAGGAGCUUGCUCCUUUGACGUUAGCGGCGGACGGGUGAGUAACACGUGGAUAACCUACCUAUAAGACUGGGAUAACUUCGGGAAACCGGAGCUAAUACCGGAUAACAUAUUGAACCGCAUGGUUCAACAGUGAAAGACGGUCUUGCUGUCACUUAUAGAUGGAUCCGCGCCGCAUUAGCUAGUUGGUAAGGUAACGGCUUACCAAGGCAACGAUGCGUAGCCGACCUGAGAGGGUGAUCGGCUACACUGGAACUGAGACACGGUCCAGACUCCUACGGGAGGCAGCAGUAGGGAAUCUUCCGCAAUGGGCGAAAGCCUGACGGAGCAACGCCGCGUGAGUGAGGAAGGUCUUCGGAUCGUAAAACUCUGUUAUUAGGGAAGAACAAAUGUGUAAGUAACUAUGCACGUCUUGACGGUACCUAAUCAGAAAGCCACGGCUAACUACGUG
rnacentral:rRNA from 1 species